CCUACGGGAGGCUGCAGUGGGGGAUAUUGCACAAUGGGGGAAACCCUGAUGCAGCGAAGCCGCGUGGGUGAAGAAGCGCCUCGGCGCGUAAAGCCCUGUCAGCAGGGAAGAAAAUGACGGUACCUGAAGAAGAAGCCCCGGCUAACUACGUGCCAGACGCCGCGGUAAUACGUAGGGGGCAAGCGUUAUCCGGAUUUACUGGGUGUAAAGGGGGCGCAGACGGCGAUGCAAGCCAGGAGUGAAAGCCCGGGGCCCAACCCCGGGACUGCUGUUGGAACUGCGUGGCUAGAGUGCAGGAGGGGCAGGCGGAAUGCCGGGUGUAGCGGUGAAAUGCGUAGAUAUCAGGAGGAACACCGGUGGCGAAGGCGGCCUGCUGGACUGCAACUGACGUUGAGGCUCGAAAGCGUGGGGAGCAAACAGGAUUAGAUACCCUGGUAGUC
rnacentral:rRNA from 1 species